UUGUCAGUUUCAUUUUAGACAUCACAUACAACAGAGCUGCAGGGCAGACGCGUGUGGCCUGUACGCCUUAUAUUUUUUUUGUUGCUAUUCAGAAGAAUAUACAUUUACCAAUACGCGACGCGUCAAACAAGUGUGUGUGUGUGUAUUUUGUUGCUGUGCUUAUUCAAAUAUUAAUGCGCGCAAGUGCAUUUGAUAAUAGACAGCGUCCCUGCCCUUCAGACAGCUCCAAAAUUAUACUAAAUAUAACCACACACAAAUUAAGUGCGCUGCUGUUUCGCCAAAUUGAAAAAGGGUGCUAACGCUAUGUGGAGUCCAACACAUUGCAGUGUAACUGUUCAGCGUGCGCGAGGUCUUCUGACAAAAGGCAAGAAUGGCACCAACAACUGCUUCGUCACAAUUGCCCUGGGUAAGGAGAAGUACCAGACAUCAGUCAAGGACAAGGCCGAGGCAACCGUCAACUGGAAUGAGGAGUGCGAACUCAAAAUUCCAGAUCAGGGCAAUCGGGCGGAGCUGACGCUGACCUGCUUGCACCGCAAUAAUCUGGGCAUCGAUGAGUUUCUCGGGCAGGCAACGCUGCCACUCAAGGACAUGGACGUCUAUGACAGGCCGCGUGCCAAGUGGUUAAAGCUUGAGAGCAAGCCGGGCAAGGAGAAGAAGAACAAAGAGCGCGGCGAACUGGAGGUGCGCAUCGCGUUUGUUGUCAAAUCCGGAUCGCUGACAGAUCUAAGCAAGAAGGACAAGCAUAAGUCUUCCAUUGGGCAGCUGGCCAGUUCUGUGGGCGGCAGCCUGCUCUCCAUUGGCCAGGGCGAGAAGCGCAAGAGCAUCAAGAAGCUGGCUGGCUCGCUCAGCUCCAAGCUGCACAUACGCAGCAAAAAGAAGCAUGCCGAUGGCGAUGACAGUGGCUCGUUUAGCGGUUCCUUUGCCAGUAUCGGUACACCGAACAGCUCCUCGGGCCUGGGCGGCAUUGGCGGCGGCAGCGGACGCAGGCGCGGCCAACGUGCCGGCGAAGCUGAUCCCGGUGUAAUAAGCGAGGACGAGGACGAGUUUGUGUUCGACAAUCUGUCCCACAAGAGCUCUGGCAGCUCGCUGAACAUCCAGCGCUCCGGCCUGCAGCCGCCUUCAUCUGGUGGUGGCACCAACAAUUUCGCUCCUCGCAACCCGUCGCCGCUGCUGAGCAACGGAAACGGUGGUGGCCCGAAGGGAAAACUCAACGGAGGUAAGCCCAAAUUGCAAGAGACACUCGGUGAGGAUCCAAUCGUUGCGGAGAUGGAACAGCUUGAGCUCGAUUUCAGCGUUCGUGCGCGCACUCUGCCACCUCCCUCAAAACCGCCGCGCACCCCGCAGACACAGCAAGAGCUGGAGUCGGAACGCGAACGGGAACGCGAACGCGCACGGGAACGCGAAGGUGAUGGGCAAACACAAGUGGAGGCAUCCCCAAUCCAGGUGGAUGAGUGGGAGUCUAAGUUGUAUGGUGGCGGCAAGUAUUUAGAGAUUGGCAGCAGCGAUUCCUUGAAGCGUCGCAGCUGGGAGACGCGCGUACCGCUGCCGGCAACCAGCGAGGAGCCGCCGCCGGUUCCAUCGGCAAGCUCUUCCUCUAGUUCCUCAGACACUGAGGAGGAAGAGGUAGAGGAGGAGGAGGAGCAGCAGCCGCAGCCGCCAAAGUCAGCACCGCCGCCGCCAUUGCCAUUGCCUUCAGAUGAUAGAAGCAGCAAGAGCGGCAACUCGCUCUUCUCACCAGACGUCGAGCCGCGUAACUUUGAUGCACUCAAUGCGAGCUUCGCCAAGUUUGAGCAACGCAACAGCACCGCAAUCUUUGCAGAUGAAAAGCUGGCUUCUGAGCCGGUGACGCCCAGAUCGAAUCCGAUCGCCGAACCGCCACAGCCGUUGCCGAGUGUGAGACCCACUCCACAGCCGCGCGGCACAACAAGUGAGCAACUGAAGGCAGAGACGGCGGCACUGGCUAAGGCCGAGGCAGCUGCCGAAGAGGAGGCUGCACGUCAGCGACGCGCAGAAGAUGCGCGCCUGGAGGCCGAGCUGCGUCUGAACGAGCAGCGGCUGCGCGAAGAGGAGGCAGCGCUGCAACAGGAGCUGGAAUUACAGCAGGAGGAGCAGCGGCGGCGCGAUGCCAAACGUCGCGAGGAGGAUCAAAGACUCUUGAGCUUUGCCAAGCGCUCCACCUCCUUGGAGGAGCCGCAAUCAAAAACGCAGGCCAUUGCCGAGGAUCAAACCGUGGCCGUUGCCAUGGCCAUGGCCGUCGCUGUCGCCGAUGUAGAUCCAAGCAUAGAGCACAACUUGUUAACGCCCGAGCAAUCGCCCAAGGAGUUCAGCAGCAUUGGUGGCGGCAGUGGCAGCGGCAGCGGUGAGCGCUGGGAGAAGCGACUAGGCAAAUUUAAAUACGGCAAUAAGCGAGACAAACAAAACGAUGCGGAUAGUAACUCGCCCAGCCCCAAGUCCACGGAGCGCAUUAUUAUUGGCCACGAGAAGUCUGGUUCGCAUGCGGAACGGCGCUCCGAGAUCUCUGCACAAUUGGCCAAAAAAUACGAGGGGAAGUCACGGGAGGAGCUGAUGCUGAUCGCCAAUGGCAUGGAGAAUGAGGCAUUGCUGCAACGCCAGCGCGUCAAAGAGUUGGAGGACUAUCUGGAUAAUUUGCUGUUGCGCGUAAUGGAAACGCAUCCUAAAAUCUUGCAGAAUCCCUAUUCACGAACCACAUCGGCCAAAAGUUAUAAAAAUUACAUCAAUAUGAAUGACUUUUUAAACUAAAACCAAGAUCAGCCAACACCCCCUGAGACCCCCGUUCAGCAGCAGCAACAGCAGCAGCAGUAACAGCGGCAGCAGCAACAACUACAACAAUAACAACAACAGCUAAAAUAACAAACAACAACAACAACAACAGCAACCGAAGCAAAGACGGUUAAGUGUGACAGCAGCCAAAAAUAUGUUCGCAGCAAGCAGCUUAUUGUCGGUGAAGCAUGGAGGGGAGAAGCUGAUCCGCGGCGAACGUUUUAAAUGUAACAUGUAACAUAGAAUCAAAAAGAACACCAAGUUGCCUUUGUCAUUAGAGAAAUUCAAGUGCUUUCUUAUUGUAUUUUUAGCAUUACAUUUACACACACUAUAACAACUCUUAGAUAUUAAGCUAUUAUAAAUAUAUAUAUAUUUUUUUUUUGCUAAACGGAUGACUACUAAACAAAAAGGCCCAACAAAUUUGUUGUUAACUCUUUCUGUGUGUAUUGUUUUACUUGUAACAUGAUAUUCGGUUUUUCAUUUGCCCUGUGUUAAUAUUUGAACGAAACUAAAUUAAAUUAAAUUAUUUGUAAAAUGUAAAUUAUUGUAAACAAUUUGCUAGACAAUUGUAAUGUUUUGUUUCGAUUCAACUGAUUAAUUGAAAUUAUCCAAAAGUAUUUUUUAUUUGCAUUUUAAAAUGUGUUUUGUUUUUUAUGUGAAGAGUCCUGCAAUAUCGGCCACGAUUGCAACAAUUUAUAGUUAAGUAAAUCUUAAAUUAUUUAUGUAUUAGACGUUUAAGUGAAAAUUGAGCAAUAAGCGAGGAGAGAACUACAUACAGUUAUACAUAUGUUGAUAAAUGAUUUUACUUAUUAAACAACAAAUAAAAAACACUUAACAUUGAUAUU